rnacentral:rRNA from 1 species
ACACUCGUCUUAACCUGGGCCACAAACGCCCUCCAAUGGACGGUACAAAGAGGUGCAAGCCCGCGAGGUGGAGCUAAUCCAAUAAAACCGUUCUCAGUUCGGAUUGUAGGUUGCAACUCGCCUCCAUGAAGCUGGAAUCGCUAGUAAUGGCGGAUCAGCAUGCCGCGGUGAAUACGUUCCCGGGCCUUGUACACACCGCCCGUCACACCACGAGAGUUGGUAACACCCGAAGUCGGUGGGGUAACCUUUGGAGCCAGCCGCCUAAGUGAUCAGAGC